rnacentral:rRNA from 1 species
UACGGAGGGGGCUAGCGUUGUUCGGAAUUACUGGGCGUAAAGCGCGCGUAGGCGGACCUGCAAGUCGGGGGUGAAAGCCCGAGGCUCAACCUCGGAACUGCCUUCGAUACUGCGGGUCUCGAGUCCGGGAGAGGUGAGUGGAAUUCCUAGUGUAGAGGUGAAAUUCGUAGAUAUUAGGAAGAACACCAGUGGCGAAGGCGGCUCACUGGCCCGGUACUGACGCUGAGGCGCGAAAGCUAGGGGAGCAAACAGGG